CCUACGGGUGGCAGCAGUCGGGAAUAUUGCGCAAUGGAGGAAACCCUGACGCAGCGACGCCGCGUGCAGGAAGAAGUUUUUCGGAUUGUAAACUUCUUUAUACAGGGAAGAAAAAAGACAGUACCUGUAGAAUAAGCUCCGGCUAACUACGUGCCAGCAGCCGCGGUAAUACGUAGGGAGCGAGCGUUGUCCGGACUUACUGGGGGUACAGGGAGCGUAGGCGGGACUGGAAGUUGGUUGUCAAAUCUACCGGCUUAACCGGUAGACGCACUCAAAACUGCAGUUCUUGAGUGAAGUAGAGGAAGGCGGAAUUCCUAGUGUAGCGGUGAAAGGCGUAGAUAUUAGGAGGAACACCAGUGGCGAAGGCGGCGUGCUGGGCUUUUACUGACGCUGAGGCUCGAAAGUGUGGGGAGCAAACAGGAUUAGAUACCCGAGUAGUC
rnacentral:rRNA from 1 species